rnacentral:rRNA from 1 species
UACGAAGGGGGCUAGCGUUGCUCGGAAUCACUGGGCGUAAAGGGUGCGUAGGCGGGUUUUUAAGUCAGGGGUGAAAUCCUGGAGCUCAACUCCAGAACUGCCUUUGAUACUGAAGAUCUUGAGUCCGGGAGAGGUGAGUGGAACUGCGAGUGUAGAAGUGAAAUUCGUAGAUAUUCGCAAGAACACCAGUGGCGAAGGCGGCUCACUGGCCCGGUACUGACGCUGAGGCACGAAAGCGUGGGGAGCAAACAGG